GUGCUUGCUUUGGUAGCACAUAUACUAAAAUUGGAAUGAUGCAGAGAAGAUUAGCAUGGCUCUUGCACAAGAAUGACACACAAGUUCAUGAAGCAUAUUUUU